CCUACGGGAGGCAGCAGUAGGGAAUAUUGGGCAAUGGGCGCAAGCCUGACCCAGCGACGCCGCGUGAGGGAUGAAGGUCUUCGGAUUGUAAACCUCUUUCAGUAGGGAAGAAGCGAAAGUGACGGUACCUAAAGAAGAAGCACCGGCUAACUAUGUGCCAGCAGCCGCGGUAAUACAUAGGGUGCAAGCGUUGUCCGGAAUUAUUGGGCGUAAAGAGCUCGUAGGUUGUUUGUCGCGUCGAUUGUGAAAAUCUGAGGCUCAACCUCAGACCUGCAGUCGAUACGGGCAAACUAGAGUGUGGUAGGGGAGACUGGAAUUCCUGGUGUAGCGGUGGAAUGCGCAGAUAUCAGGAGGAACACCAAUGGCGAAGGCAGGUCUCUGGGCCAUAACUGACACUGAGGAGCAAAAGUGCGGGGAGCGAACAGGAUUAGAUACCCUGGUAGUCCGCACCGUAAACGGUGGGCACUAGUUGUGGGAACCUUCCACGGUUUCCGCGACGCAGCAAACGCAUUAAGUGCCCCGCCUGGGGAGUACGAUCGCAAGAUUAAAACUCAAAUGAAUUGACGG
rnacentral:rRNA from 1 species